CCCUUAGACGUUCUGGGCCGCACGCGCGCUACACUGACCAGUGCAACAAGCAUCCGUCCUUGGCCGACAGGCUCGGGCAAUCUUUGAACGCUGGUCGUGAUGGGGAUAGACUUUUGCAAUUUUUGGUCUUCAACGAGGAAUUCCUAGUAAACGCAAGUCAUCAACUUGCAUUGAUUACGUCCCUGCCCUUUGUACACACCGCCUGUCGCACCUACCGAUUGAAUGGUCCGGUGAAGCCUCCGGAUUGGCGCGCACCUCGGUGCCGCCGAGAAGUUGGCUAAACCUUACCAUUUAGAGGAAGGUGAAGUCGUAACA
rnacentral:rRNA from 1 species